GCGUUAUACGAGUGCAGUGCAGUGCUCUCUCGCAUGUACAACCAAUUAGUCGAUUGGCGCAGAAAAAGAUUGAGGACAAUGUGAUGUGAUGGCCAUGACCGUGGACAUCGAUAUGGAUAUUGGAUAUGCGAAACCGACACCGGAUUGAAUGUGGAUAUGGAGAACAGAAGCUGCAGCCAAAUCAGCAGAUGCAAAUGCAAUUGCCGAGAAGCGUUGAGCGUGUUGCGCCAAUUUGCUUGGCCUGCCAACGUCUGUCAACGUCGAGAGGAGCCCUUCUUGGCCAGAUUGGCUUAGUAGCUUGGAUUCUCAGUUACUUGGCUUCUCCGCUCCUCAUGGUCCUUGUCGGCCAUUGGCAAUUACAUGCAGCUCACGUCCUGUCAGAGUUGAAAGAUGACAAAUCAACUUGACAGCCGCGCCAAUUUGCAUGGCCACAUGGCCAGCGAGUAAGAUGAUGCUGAUGAUGACUGCACAGGAAAAAAUUAGAUCAUCAACAUGAUCAAUAACUCAAAUGGUAUUGUUUGGUCCUGAUCCUAACCUUAUGGCUUUAAUGUUAAAGAUCUUUCCUUUAGAAGGUUCCUUAUAAGGUACUUGCUCCACUAUUAAUUAUCCGAUUCCUCUUUCGAUUUCCAAAAAUAAUGUGAAAUAUAUAUAAACUCUAAAGCUGUUGUCCAUAUAAA